AGUGAACGCUGGCGGUAGGCCUAACACAUGCAAGUCGAACGGCAGCACAGUAAGCGCUUGCUCUUCCGGGUGGCGAGUGGCGGAUGGGUGAGGAAUACAUCGGCAUCUACUUUUUCGUGGGGGAUAACGUAGGGAAACUUACCCUAAUACCGCAUACGACCUACGGGUGAAAGCAGGGGAUCUUCGGACCUUGCGCGAUUGAAUGACCCGAUGUCGGAUUAGCUAGUUGGCGGGGUAAAGGCCCACCAAGGCGACGAUCCGUAGCUGGUCUGAGAGGAUGACCAGCCACACUGGAACUGAGACACGGUCCAGACUCCUACGGGAGGCAGCAGUGGGGAAUAUUGGACAAUGGGCGCAAGCCUGAUCCAGCCAUACCGCGUGGGUGAAGAAGGCCUUCGGGUUGUAAAGCCCUUUUGUUGGGAAAGAAAAGCAGCAGGUUAAUACCCCGCUGUUCUGACGGUACCCAAAGAAUAAGCACCGGCUAACUUCGUG
rnacentral:rRNA from 1 species